AGCUCCAAUAGCGUAUAUUAAAGUUGUUGCAGUUAAAAAGCUCGUAGUUGAACUUCUGGUCAAGUCUGACUUUGGCUUCGGUCGAAGCAGACAUGGCCAUCCGUCAGAAAACCAGGGUGGACCUUAACUGGUUACUCUGGGGAUCUGACAAUUUACUUUGAAAAAAUUAGAGUGUUCAAGGCAGGCUAUCGCCCUGAAUAUUACAGCAUGGAAUAAUGGAAUAGGACUGGGUCCAUUUUGUUGGUUUAUGGACGCAGUAAUGAUUAAUAGGGACAGUUGGGGGCAUUAGUAUUUAAUUGUCAGAGGUGAAAUUCUUGGAUUUAUUAAAGACUGACUUAUGCGAAAGCAUUUGCCAAGGAUGUUUUCA
rnacentral:rRNA from 1 species